rnacentral:rRNA from 1 species
AUUGAACGCUGGCGGCAGGCCUAACACAUGCAAGUCGAGCGGAUGAAGGGUGCUUGCUCCUGGUUUCCGCGUCGGACGGGUGUGUAAUGCCUAGGAAUCUCCCUGGUAGUGCGUUAUAAUGUCUUCAAACGGGUGCUACUACCACCUACUUCCUGCGGCAGCUAGUUGGGGAUCUUCGGACCUUAUCCUCUCAUAUGAAUCUAGGCCGGUUUAGCUAGUUUGUGGGGUAAGGACUUACCUAGCCGACGAUCCGUAACUAGUCUGAGAGGAUGAUCAGUCACACGGGAACUGGGACACGGACAAGAGGCCUAAGAGAGGCAGCAGUGGGGAAUAUGGGACAAUGGGCGAAAGCCUGAUACAGCCAGGGCGAGUGUGUGAAGAAAGUCUUGGGAUUGUAAAGAACGUUAAGGUGGGAGAAAGGGCAGUAAGUUAAGACCAAGCUGUAGUGACGUUACCAACAGAAUAAGCACCGGCUAACUACGUG